CCUACGGGAUGCACCAGUGGGGAAUAUUGCACAAUGGGCGCAAGCCUAAUGCAGCCAUGCCGCGUGUAUGAAGAAGGCCUUCGGGUCGUAAAGUACUUUCAGCGAGGAGGAAGGCAUUAAGGUUAAUAACCUUGGUGAUUGACGUUACUCGCAGAAGAAGCACCGGCUAACUCCGUGGCAGCAGCCGCGGUAAUACGGAGGGUGCAAGCGUUAAUUGGAAUUACUGGGCGUAAAGCGCACGCAGGCGGUCUGUCAAGUCGGAUGUGAAAUCCCCGGGCUCAACCUGGGAACUGCAUUCGAAACUGGCAGGCUAGAGUCUUGUAGAGGGGGGUAGAAUUCCAGGUGUAGCGGUGAAAUGCGUAGAGAUCUGGAGGAAUACCGGUGGCGAAGGCGGCCCCCUGGACAAAGACUGACGCUCAGGUGCGAAAGCGUGGGGAGCAAACAGGAUUAGAUACCCUCGUAGUC
rnacentral:rRNA from 1 species